rnacentral:rRNA from 1 species
GACGAACGCUGGCGGCGUGCUUAACACAUGCAAGUCGAACGGAAAGGCCCUGCUUUUGUGGGGUGCUCGAGUGGCGAACGGGUGAGUAACACGUGAGUAACCUGCCCUUGACUUUGGGAUAACUUCAGGAAACUGGGGCUCAUACCGGAUAGGAGCUCCUGCUGCACGGUGGGGGUUGGAAAGUUUCGGCGGUUGGGGAUGGACUCGCGGCUUAUCAGCUUGUUGGUGGGGUAGUGGCUUACCAAGGCUUUGACGGGUAGCCGGCCUGAGAGGGUGACCGGCCACAUUGGGACUGAGAUACGGCCCAGACUCCUACGGGAGGCAGCAGUGGGGAAUAUUGCACAAUGGGCGGAAGCCUGAUGCAGCAACGCCGCGUGCGGGAUGACGGCCUUCGAGUUGUAAACCGCUUUCGCCUGUGACGAAGCGUGAGUGACGGUAAUGGGUAAAGAAGCACCGGCUAACUACGUG